rnacentral:rRNA from 1 species
UACGUAGGGGGCAAGCGUUGUCCGGAAUCAUUGGGCGUAAAGCGCGUGUAGGCGGCUUGGUAAGUCCGCUCUGAAAGCCCGGGGCUCAACCCCGGGAGGCGGGUGGAUACUGUCGAGCUCGAGUCCGGAAGAGGCGAGUGGAAUUCCUGGUGUAGCGGUGAAAUGCGCAGAUAUCAGGAGGAACACCAAUGGCGAAGGCAGCUCGCUGGGACGUGACUGACGCUGAGACGCGAAAGCGUGGGGAGCAAACAGG